UACGAAGGGGGCUAGCGUUGUUCGGAUUUACUGGGCGUAAAGCGCACGUAGGCGGAUUGGUCAGUUAGGGGUGAAAUCCCAGAGCUCAACUCUGGAACUGCCUUUAAUACUGCCAGUCUAGAGUCCGGAAGAGGUGAGUGGAACUCCUAGUGUAGAGGUGAAAUUCGUAGAUAUUAGGAAGAAUACCAGUGGCGAAGGCGGCUCACUGGUCCGGUACUGACGCUGAGGUGCGAAAGCGUGGGGAGCAAACAGG
rnacentral:rRNA from 1 species